rnacentral:rRNA from 1 species
CCUACGGGUGGCAGCAGUGAGGAAUAUUGGUCAAUGGACGAGAGUCUGAACCAGCCAAGUAGCGUGAAGGAUGACUGCCCUAUGGGUUGUAAACUUCUUUUAUAUGGGAAUAAAAUGUUCCACGUGUGGGAUUUUGUAUGUACCAUAUGAAUAAGGAUCGGCUAACUCCGUGCCAGCAGCCGCGGUAAUACGGAGGAUCCGAGCGUUAUCCGGAUUUAUUGGGUUUAAAGGGAGCGUAGGUGGAUUGUUAAGUCAGUUGUGAAAGUUUGCGGCUAAACCGUAAAAUUGCAGUUGAAACUGGCAGUCUUGAGUACAGUAGAGGUGGGCGGAAUUCGUGGUGUAGCGGUGAAAUGCUUAGAUAUCACGAAGAACUCCGAUUGCGAAGGCAGUUCACUGGACUGCAACUGACACUGAGGCUCGAAAGUGUGGGUAUCAAACAGGAUUAGAUACCCUUGUAGUC